GAAAUGCGAUAAGUAGUGUGAAUUGCAGAAUUCAGUGAAUCAUCGAAUCUUUGAACGCACAUUGCGCCCCUUGGUAUUCCAUGGGGCAUGCCUGUUCGAGCGUCAUCUACACCCUCAAGCUCUGCUUGGUGUUGGGCGUCUGUCCCCGCCUCCGCGCGCGGACUCGCCCCAAAUCCAUUGGCAGCGUCCCCUCGCCCCCCUCUCGCGCAGCACGAAUGCGCAUGACGAGGGAGCGGCUCCCGGGAUCGCGACCCACCCCAAGAUGACCACCGUCUUUGACCUCGGAUCAGGUAGGGAUACCCGCUGAACUUAAGC
rnacentral:misc_RNA from 1 species